rnacentral:rRNA from 1 species
ACUGCUGAUCAUAAGUUCUCUGUAGGAUCCUUAUACAGGAAAUUGAUAGCCGUUGGGAUGAAAUUCCCACAGAAAUACUUAUGGAAGACCAAGUUGCCCGCAAAACUGAAGGUGUUUUUAUGGUUGGUUAAUAAAAAAAGUAUUCUAACUAGAGAUGUGCUGCUUAAAAAAGGCUGGAAAGGUGGAAAAGAGUGUGUUCUGUGUGGAAAAGAUGAAUCGGUUGAUCAUUUAUUUUUUUCUUGCUCUGCUGCUUCAUUGUUGUGGAGUUUGGUCAGAUGUGUGUGUGGGUUUAAAACUGUUCCAUCAAAUGUAAAAGAUUGUUUUGGGGAAUGGAUUAGGAAAUUUAAUAAAGAUGAUAAGAAAAUGGUUCUGGUGGGGAUUUCAGCCCUGCUUUGGGCAAUUUGGAAAAGCAGGAAUGCAAUUGUCUUUGAAAAU